GUCCUGGGCCCAUGAUGCUACCCUUUCUCUCUGGCACUUUUCCCCUUCCUGCCAUUUGGGGGGACUGGUUGAGUCCUCUGGCCGGGCUGUGGUUCACGGAGGCCAGUUUCCGUACCUCUGCGGGGUAGGCAGUGGGGGGCUGUAUCCACGUCCCCCCAAGGGGUGGAGUGACCGCGCAGGGAUAUGCCAGAGCGGAUGCCACUGUCUUUCCCCUUCGCUUAGCCUUCACCUGCAGGUCAAAGUAGGCUCCACUUCCGCUUGCCGACCCCAGCCUGUCCUUUGGUCCCAAGAGCAAACUGGUUGAACUAGUGGAGGUUGUGCGGCUGCUAAGUCCCGGGCUUCAAGACCUCUUCCCUGUCACCCUGCCUUGAGUAAGCUUGGACUAGGGCUUCUGGGUCCCUGGCUGCCUACAUUUAGGCUGGGGUGGAGGGCAAGGGGAACUGUAGCUGGGAGUGGAAGGAGCCUGGGGCUGGGUGUGAGGGGGAAAGCCCAAGUGUGUGUGUGGGGGGGUGUCUGCCUUACCUAGAGCCUGCCUGCCUGCCUGCCUGGUGGAUGCACCACAGAUGUUGACUCCAGCCGCGCGCGAGCAUGUGUGUGUGUGUGUGUGUGUGUGUGUGUGUGUGUGUACAGGCACGUGCAACCAGUGUCAGUGUCAGGGUCUGAUGGGGACAUUUCUCUGACUUCAAUGUGACCACCACAGACUCUCAGUCCUAGAGUAGGAACCCCGGGGCGUCAGCGUCCAUUCUACUGAGGACAGAGCAAGAGAAAAGUCCAAGCUCUAUACAUGGAGCUCCAACAUUCCUACAGGAGCUAGGGUGGGAGAGAGAAAGUGGAGAAGGGCAGCAGUAGCAGUGGGGGCUGGACUUGGCUGGAGAGAUGCACCCAAGGGACCUUCCCCAGCAACAGUUCUGGGGUGGCCAGCACUGGGGACACUGAGUCUUGGUCACGUCACGUUUCCCAUACCGGAAUUACUUUGCUCUGUCCUCACUGCCACCCUAGGGACCAGGUAUCCUCCCUCCGGGGAAAGGGAAAGGCCACUUCUGGUAGCCAGAGUCAGGCGAAGGGGAGAGGAAAGAGGGGCCUGCUGUGGCUCUCUCAGGAGAACAGGAGCCGUUGAUGGGGUACAGACAAGGCCCUCCCUUUCACACUAGGGGUGGGAAGAGCCGGGAAUAGGUACUCCAGGGUCCCGUCCCCAGGUGGCCUGGCUGCUGUUGACUUUGCUUGGUUACCCUGGGAGCAGCUCUCAGCAGUGUGAGAGGGGCGGGUGUCGGAGAGUUGGACCCAGGCGUCCAGGCUGGGGUGGGAUGGCACUCGGCCUUUGUGGCAGGGAUCCCCGUCAGGAGCCUGCAAAGUUAACCCCUCCUGCCCUGGUGGUGGUGGUAGCUGGCGGAAGGAGGGCGGGCCCAGCUGCGGUUUGUGAGUGUGGCCCUAAUUCCCCUUCCCUCUCCCAGCACAUCUGUACUUGGUUUACAGUGAAUGAGUCUCCUGUCCUCAUGAACCGGGUGAGGGCACCACUCCCUCCCUGGCCCCUGGCCGGGCAUCCUGACACAGAACCAGGCACCACCCACCCCUGGAACGCUCUCCCUGCUGGGCCUGCUCCGUGCCGAGGCUGGUGCCAGCCUUGCCCUGCGUGCUUGCUCAGUUCCACCCCUUGUAUCAGGCCUAUGUUGCUGCUUGCCAGUUUGUUGGUUCUCCUGGUGAAUGAGUUUGUGUGUCGAAGAUACUUACCAGCCUCAGAGCUGCCCAGAUCCCCACAUAGAAUAAGGCCUUGAUUUUGAAACACAGCAUUUUAGGACUGGCCUAAACAACUCUAGGAAUUUCUUCCCUGAACAUGCACCAUUCAUUAAUUCAACAAAUCUUUAUUAAGCAUCCACUAUAUGCCAAGCACUGUGCUAGGCCCUGGGUAUGGUCUCUGCCCUUUCGGGCUUAUAGUCUGGUAGAGAAGUCAGACAUGAAACAAAUCACCCACAAAAUUGCAAGUGACAACCAGCGUGGAGAGGUAUAAGGUGCUGUGAGAAUGGAUAGUAGAAGAGUCUUUUCCCCCAGCCAAGGAGAUUAGAAAAGACUUUUGCGGGGGGGUGUGGGGGCAGUAGAGAGAAGGGAGGGCAGCAGAAGCAGAAGAGUAUGUGCAAAGGCCCUGGAAUCAGGGUCCUGGCUCCCAGCCACCCUGCUCCCCCGGAAAGAAGAAGGUCCCUCCUCACCUGGAUUUUGAUAUGUUACAAGGGAGGGAUGGUAAGCACCUCCUAAUGGCCAAAGCAGGACCCUGGGACACCUGGUGAUCCUGCCCUGGAAUGAUUCCACCCAUUCCUUCAUCUCUUCCUCCAGAAAGGGAAACAGAGGCACAGAUAGGGAGGAGGAAUCCACAGGCAUAGGCCCGACAUUACAUAGAGAAAACAAGGCCGCACAUUGUUGGCAAAUCCCUCAGGGUGAGGGAUUCCUGAGUUUGCCUGGCUGGAGCCUCACCAGAUAGAAAACCCUUCUACUCUGAUCUGUUUGACCGUGCACCCUCACCCUCUGGGAUCCAGCCCUGACCUGUUCCACUCCCUGGAAUGAGGAGCAUGUCUGCUUCCACAGUUGCCCGGAGUUUGUGAGCUGACUGCUCCAGGUGGCGGCCAGGCCCGCUGUGGGUGGGCGCAGCAGUCCAUUUUGUACAGAACCUCCAUCCCGGGUUAUGGGGUUAUCUCUCCUCUGUCCACUUGGGGGCUUCCAGCCCCUCCUGCCCAGACACCGAGGUUCCAGGCUUCUUCCUUUCUGAAGAAAAGGGAUGGAGGGUCCUUUGGAGGAGGGAGCAGGCUUCUUGUGGCCAUGCCUCCUCCGGAGCUGGCAAAGAGGUCAUGGGACCAAUGGGGUUAAGUUCCAGCCCUGCUCUGACCCAUUUUCCUCCCUGUGCCCACAUGCCCUGGGGCCAGGGUGUUGGGUGGGGCAGGCCUGGCACCCCUGCACCCACACCUGGGACUUCUCCUGGAUGGAAACUCCCAGAACCCUGGUGUCCUACCUCCUCUGCCAGCUCCCACCAACAGCCUGGGUUCUGUUCACUUACAGUGGGAUCUCCCUGUCUGCCAGCUCUCCUCCAGACUACAUCUCCGCCUUAGCCCUGAGGGGCCCUGAGGAUGUGGGCCCACUUUCUGGGACCAUAUUUGAUGUCUGGCUGCCCUUUCUAGUGAACCUCUUCGAAGAAAAGAUGUGGGGCUGGGGGGAGGGCGUUGGGAAGCUAUCCUUCGUUGACCAUCUCUAUGUGCCAGGCGUUGUGCUAGGGCAUGUACGUUACUCAUUUAAUCCACAAAGCAGUCCAGAGAAGUAGCAGUUAUUAUCAACCCCAUCACAGGGGAGGGAGCUGAGAACCAGAGAGGUUAAGCAGCUUGCCCAGUAUCAUCACACAGCUAGCACACAGCAGAGCUAAGAUGGGAACCUAGGUCUUGGUGGUCCUGAGGUCUCUUCACCACGACAGGCUUCCUCCUCUUCUGCAGCUGCCCACCUCUCCAUGAGAUGAGAGACUUGGAAAUAAUCAGUUCAGUUCAAUCCAAUUCAGAAAACAGUCAUUGAGCAUCUGCUGUAUGCCAGGCCCGGACAGGUGCCAGACCAGUGACAGGGAAGGUUGCUGACUCAGGGUCUGGUGGGAAAGAUAGGUGUAUGAACUAGGCAGUAUCUAACUUCAGCAUAAUGAUUUGAACGAGGCGGCAUGGAGUGGAGAAAGAAACAGUACUUCCAUUUUCUCUUUCUGAAAGAGUAAAGAAAUAUAUUAUGAACAGUGUACAGAAUAAAUUGGAAUAAAGCGAAUACCUACUCAGCUGGCAUCCAGGUCAAGAAAUAGAGUACUUCCUGCUCCAGAAGUUCCCAUGUGACUCUCCCAUCAUCCCCUCCCUCCCUUAAGAAGUAAACACCAUCCUGACUUUUGUGAUAAUUAUUUCCUUCUUUUUCUUUAUAGGAUUAGCACCUAUGUAUGCAUCCCUCAUCAAUAUUACUUAAUUUUGCCUGUUUUUGAGGUUUAUAUAAACGGAAUGACACUGUA